AUUGAACGCUGGCGGCAUGCCCUACACAUGCAAGUCGAACGGUAACAGGUCUUCGGAUGCUGACGAGUGGCGAACGGGUGAGUAAUACAUCGGAACGUGCCUAGUAGUGGGGGAUAACUACUCGAAAGAGUGGCUAAUACCGCAUGAGAUCUACGGAUGAAAGCAGGGGAUCGCAAGACCUUGUGCUACUAGAGCGGCCGAUGGCAUAUUAGGUAGUUGGUGGGAUAAAAGCUUACCAAGCCGACGAUCUGUAGCUGGUCUGAGAGGACGAUCAGCCACACUGGGACUGAGAAACGGCCCAGACUCCUACGGGAGGCAGCAGUGGGGAAUUUUGGACAAUGGGCGCAAGCCUGAUCCAGCAAUGCCGCGUGCAGGAUGAAGGCCUUCGGGUUGUAAACUGCUUUUGUACGGAACGAAAAGCCCCGGGUUAAUACCCUGGGGUCAUGACGGUACCGUAAGAAUAAGCACCGGCUAACUACGUGCCAGCAGCCGCCGUAA
rnacentral:rRNA from 1 species